UAAUCCUGUCCUCACUGCCCCCUGCCUCAGAGGGAGCAAGCCCUUUACCUCAAUGCCAGUUGAAGAUCAUUGCAAAUAUAUUAAAUCUGAUGGAAAUCUGCCGCAUUAAAUGUUAGUUACAUAUGAACUGACUUGUUACUAACUAGGUGAUACACUGUUGUGAUUUGUAAGCAUUUCAUUAGAUUUUUAUUUUAUGGUUUAUUUUUCUGUUAUGAUAAUCCAUUUUUAUUUUUCAGGCCUCAAACAUUUUGUGGGACAUUACAAAACUCACGUCCUCUGUGCCCAUGGAACUUUGUGACUCAAACAACCGUGACUGAGGUGCCAGGCUCGCUGGCACUGUGGUAAGUGACAUCGCCUCCAUGUGACCACACAUGUACACCGAAGGAUGAGCUGCAGUGUCAGCAGGCUUCCAGGACACUGCUCACAACAUAAAUGCACAUCUCCCCACCCUCCCCUGUUACAAUGGGCUUCCUGGGCCAUCUGCCUUCCUCUUACUCACAGGUUCCUCUCCACUCCACACUCCUCUGCUUCCAGGACCUUGGGCCCAGAAAGGUCAACCCAGAGCCUGAAGUGGUAGAAAUUCUGGAUCCUGGGUUCUCCAUGGCCGAUCUAGGGAGCAGAGGGCUGGAUGCCAUCUAUUUUUGCCAGCCUGUACCGGCCAGUUGACAAGAACCCCUUAAUAUGAGCAGGUGCAAGGCAACGAGGCCUUUGUUCAGCUCAAACCCACACCCGAUGGGCUUUCCUGGCCCACACAGCCGUGGGAGCUUAGCAAUAAAAGGACUCUGAAAACUUUGGCAUGCCUGUGAAGCUGGCUGAAUAAACCAUCCUUGAAGCUGUGGUUUGGCUCCAAGUAUCAGACGGCUCUCCUGCAUUCAGCUACGUCACAGCUCAAUGUGCAAGCUCUUCCGAGGGCUGGCAGCCCCCUUUACUGCAAUCCCCACUUCUUGUUCUUGCCUUCCCUUGAAACUUCCAGUUUUAGGCCCCAGUCCUGAAGGUGUUUAUGUUUAUGAAAACCAUUAGGAUUUGCUGAGUCACAUUGGGACUAAAUGAAAUCAACCCUGAAUAUCCAUUGGAAGGACUGAUGCUGAAACUGAAGUCCUAAUACUUUGACCCCUGAUGUGAAGAACCAUUGAAAAGACCCAGAUGCUGGGAAAGAUUGAGGACAGGAGGAGAAGGGGAUGACAGAGAAUGAGAUGAUUGGAUGGCAUCACUGACUCCAUGGACGUGAGUUUGAGCAAGCUCCAGGAGACAGUGAAGGACAGGGAAGCCUGGCAUGCCGCAGUCCAUGGGGUCAAAAAGAAGCAGACACGAUCGAGUGACUGAACAACAAAUUGGGACUAAGGG
rnacentral:lncRNA from 1 species